rnacentral:rRNA from 1 species
GUGCCAGCAGCCGCGGUAAUACCGGCAGCUCAAGUGAUGUCCCAUAUUAUUGGGCCUAAAGCGUCCGUAGCUGGCCAGACAAGUCCGUUGGGAAAUCCACGCGCUCAACGCGUGGGCGUCCAGCGGAAACUGCCUGGCUUGGGACCGGAAGGCUCGAAGGGUACGUUCGGGGUAGGAGUGAAAUCCCAUAAUCCCGCACGGACCACCGAUGGCGAAAGCACUUCGAGAAAACGGAUCCGACAGUGAGGGACGAAAGCCAGGGUCUCCAACCGGAUUAGAAACCCCGGUAGUCC